GACCUUGUGCUUCUUAGCAGGU
rnacentral:siRNA from 1 species